AUAACGACUCUCGGCAACGGAUAUCUCGGCUCUCGCAUCGAUGAAGAACGUAGCGAAAUGCGAUACUUGGUGUGAAUUGCAGAAUCCCGUGAACCAUCGAGUCUUUGAACGCAAGUUGCGCCCGAUGCCAUCAGGUUGAGGGCACGUCUGCCUGGGCGUCACG
rnacentral:rRNA from 2 species